GCAAACUUGGUCAUUUAGAGGAAGUAAAAGUCGUAACAAGGUCUCCGUUGGUGAACCAGCGGAGGGAUCAUUACAGAGUUGUAAAACUCCCAAACCCAUGUGAACAUACCUGUUGCCUCGGCGGCCUACGCGGGCGGCUACCCUGUAGCUACCCUGUAGACCGCCGACGGAUUUUCAAAAACUCUUGUUUUCAGUUGUAUCUCUGAGAAAAAAAACAAAUAAAUCAAAACUUUCAACAACGGAUCUCUUGGUUCUGGCAUCGAUGAAGAACGCAGC
rnacentral:misc_RNA from 1 species